AGGCCCUCAGGACGUGAGCACGUCGGCGUCCAGAGGGCAAAAGCGUCGCCCCGCCGCUUCACGGCAGACGCUGCGGUCUUGCGCCCCCGUGUGCCUGGAGUAAGGACCCGCGGAGGUUUAAUUCGUCCCUCCCACGUGACUCGAGCGGGACGCACAGUCUCCCUGCAGGGGUUGAGCGGGAUGCUGCGGAAUGGCGAAUCCACAUGGGAUGGACCCCUUGAGAAUUGACCCUCCUGCAGACGUGAAGCCAGGCCUUCCACAGUUGCAGAUUACAUCUCAUUGGCUCUGAUUGAUAAGGCGCCAUUUUGGAAAUAGUCACUGUGGCCAGAAGAAGGUGCUGUUCUUAUUAGCCAGGCCUGAAUCUCACAUCCAUCGCAGAGUGUAGAGUAUACACCGUUUGAAAGACUUGUCUGAAAGUGCACACCAGGAUGCUUUUACCAGACGAGAGGGAAGUGGAUGGGACGCGUCUGACCAAGAAAUAUCUGCGGUGGCC